rnacentral:lncRNA from 1 species
GCCAUUUCUGAACUAGCUCACUCACCCUUGUCUCAUUUAUUUACAUUUCACCAUAACAAACCCCCUUUAUAUAUAUACACACACACACACACAAGCAUUAACCACCUUCAACUUAUGUUGAUGCAAUCAGUCAAGGUGCACAGUGUCUUGAGUACACCAAGGUCGAAUGCUCUAAACCAUGCUCUAAACCAACUUUCCCUUAGACAGCUAACAGCUUGACAAUAGC